rnacentral:rRNA from 1 species
AGAGUUUGAUCCUGGCUCAGAACGUACGCUGGCGGCACGCCUAACACAUGCAAGUCGAACGAAGUAGCAAUACUUAGUGGCAGACGGGUGAGUAACAUGUGGGUAUCUACCCUUUGGCCUGGAAUAACACGAGGAAACUUGUGCUAAUACCGGAUAAGUCUUUACGGAGAAAGCUUUAUGCACCAUUGGAGGAGCCCGCACUUGAUUAGUUUGUUGGUGGGGUAAUAGCCUACCAAGACUAUGAUCAAUAGCUGAUUUGAGAGGAUGAUCAGCCACAUUGGGACUGAGACACGGCCCAAACUCCUACGGGAGGCAGCAGUGGGGAAUCUUGCACAAUGGAGGAAACUCUGAUGCAGCGAUGCCGCGUGAGUGAAGAAGGCCUUUGGGUUGUAAAGCUCUUUCGUCGGGGAAGAAAAUGACUGUACCCGAAUAAGAAGGUCCGGCUAACUUCGUGCCAGCAGCCGCGGUAAUACGAAGGGACCUAGCGUAGUUCGGAAUUACUGGGCUUAAAGAGUUCGUAGGUGGUUGAAAAAGUUGGUGGUGAAAUCCCAGAGCUUAACUCUGGAACUGCCAUCAAAACUUUUCAGCUAGAGUAUGAUAGAGGAAAGCAGAAUUUCUAGUGUAGAGGUGAAAUUCGUAGAUAUUAGAAAGAAUACCAAUUGCGAAGGCAGCUUUCUGGAUCAUUACUGACACUGAGGAACGAAAGCAUGGGUAGCGAAGAGGAUUAGAUACCCUCGUAGUCCAUGCCGUAAACGAUGUGUGUUAGACGUUGGAAAUUUAUUUUCAGUGUCGCAGGAAACCGAUAAACACACCGCCUGGGGAGU